rnacentral:tRNA from 2 species
GUAGAUAUAGUUUAACUAAAACAUUAGAUUGUGAAUCUAACCACAGAGACUUACCACCUCUUAUUUACC